rnacentral:lncRNA from 1 species
AUGUCCCAGGCCUGGACCGAUGCCUUGGGGCCUUGUCAGGAGUCCCACUGCGCCUCAGGUAUGGCCCGCCCUGCCAUGCCGUGCCGUCCCGUGCCGUCCCCUGCCCCAGCGGAGCCUCCCAGGCCUUCUCGAGGAGGAAAAUCGGCAGCUGAAGUGCUCAGACCUCAGUCUCUUCCAGUGACACGUCCCACUCAGGACAUCCACCUCCUCACUGGCCAGCCAGCAGGUGGGAGCUCCCACCUGUCCCAGCUCCACACACGCAGGGGAGCCCCCACACCAUCGUCCACCUCAGCCUCAAGUGGAACUCUGCUCCCCCAAAUCCCCGGACGCCAGGCUCAGCCCUGGAGCAUCAGCCUGGGGCGCCUGCCCCCUGGGAGGGGGCUCGGGUGGGGGCUCCAGGCCACCUCUGGGGCCUGCCGACCUGUGGACAGCCCAGGGAGUGAACCGCAUGGUACCGGAGGGCUCCAGGGCACACCUCUCUUCCUGACGGUUUGCUGGGGUGGGAGGCGGGGCUGCUGUGAGCAGCGGGGUGUCGCCAUGACCUCCCCUACGGGCACACCAGUCCCCAUCAUGGACCCCACAUGGCCCCUCCACCCUGGUGUCCCAGGGGUGGCCUUGGGCCAGGUCUUUGGCAGCUGGGGGCAGAAUCCUGGGCUCCCCUGCCCUCCUGGACUCCAGGGAGAUCUGCACUUCACAUCAGCCCCCAGGGCCCCCCAGACACGUGAGGACCUCUCGGGGUCCUUCCACCUGCUCCAGACAUCCAGGUCCUUUCUCCUCGCCUUCCCCUCUCUGGGACCCUUGCCUCUGGCCUCACCACAUCUCUCAGGCUGUCAGGGCCCCCGCCCACCCUCAAGCCCACCACUGCUGCCGAAACUAGCUCCAGGCACGAGUGUGGGUCCCUGGGCAGGGCCCGGGCUGCUCCCACCACUCACCCAGCCCCUCCCAGGUCUGGGGUGGACACAAAUCAAGAGCCACACUUGUGAACCCCAAUCCUUGAGGUUCCGGAGAAGCCUCUGGGGGCUGCCAUCCAGGGCUCCCCACCCUGAGCAUCUCCAUGGAGCCUGCCCCUCCUCCCGGGGCGGAGCACCUCAGCGAUGUGAACUUGGCUGGCACCAUGCCGGCCGGUUGGAAAACCCCCGCAUCCCUCUCCUCCCAGGACCGGCUCAGAUGCCCUCCCCCUGCCUGACCUCGGCCACCGCCUGGACAGAGUGUGAAGCCCCUGCCCAGCAGGGAGAGGGUCUCAGGGAGGCACAGGGAGGGGGCAGAAGGGCAGGAUUCCCAGGGGCUGAGCGCCCGGCAGGAAGCGAUGGGGGCCUCUCUCCUGCCCAAAAAGUCUCCAUGUUAAUCAAACCUCGACUGGUGUUCAGUCAGGGCAGACGAGGGGGCUCCGUCCUCCUCUGCAGCUCCGUCUGCAUUUCCCGAGUCUAUUGCCCAUGCCACGCGUCCAGACAACUGCUCUCAGGCUGCCCAGGCCACGGAGUGGGGGGAUGUCCUCCCCUCGUAAUGGAUGGGAGGUUAAGCCGCUGUGUAGCUCUGCACUGCACACGCUUGUCCGCGUGUUGA